rnacentral:rRNA from 1 species
UACAGAGGUGGCAAGCGUUGUUCGGAAUUACUGGGCGUAAAGGGCGCGUAGGCGGCCUUCUAAGUCAGACGUGAAAUCCCCCGGCUUAACCUGGGAACUGCGUCUGAUACUGGGAGGCUUGAGUAUGGGAGAGGGAUGUAGAAUUCCAGGUGUAGCGGUGAAUGCGUAGAUAUCUGGAGGAAUACCGGUGGCGAAGGCGGCAUCCUGGACCAUAACUGACGCUGAGGCGCGAAAGCUAGGGGAGCAACGGG